UACGGAGGGUGCAAGCGUUAUCCGGAUUCACUGGGCUUAAAGGGUGCGUAGGAGGGUAGGUAAGUCAGUGGUGAAAUCUCCGAGCUUAACUUGGAAACUGCCGUUGAUACUAUCUGCCUUGAAUAUUGUGGAGGUGAGCGGAAUAUGUCAUGUAGCGGUGAAAUGCUUAGAUAUGACAUAGAACACCAAUUGCGAAGGCAGCUCGCUACACAUAUAUUGACACUGAUGCACGAAAGCGUGGGGAUCAAACAGG
rnacentral:rRNA from 1 species